rnacentral:rRNA from 1 species
UACAGAGGGGGCAAGCGUUGUUCGGAUUUACUGGGCGUAAAGGGCGCGUAGGCGGCUUUGUAAGUUACUUGUGAAAUCUCUGAGCUUAACUCAGAACGGUCAAGUAAUACUGCAGAGCUUGAGUGCAGAAGGGGCAACUGGAAUUCUUGGUGUAGCGGUGAAAUGCGUAGAUAUCAAGAGGAACACCUGAGGCGAAGGCGGGUUGCUGGGCAGUAACUGACGCUGAGGAACGAAAGCGUGGGUAGCGAACAGG